rnacentral:rRNA from 1 species
CCUACGGGGGGCAGCAGUGGGGAAUAUUGCACAAUGGGCGAAAGCCUGAUGCAGCGACGCCGCGUGAGGGAUGAAGGCCUUCGGGUUGUAAACCUCUUUCAGUAGGGAAGAAGCGGUUGGGUUCUCCUAGUCGUGACGGUACCUGCAGAAGAAGCGCCGGCUAACUACGUGCCAGCAGCCGCGGUAAUACGUAGGGCGCAAGCGUUGUCCGGAAUUAUUGGGCGUAAAGAGCUCGUAGGCGGUUUGUCGCGUCUGGUGUGAAAACUCAAGGCUCAACCUUGAGCUUGCAUCGGGUACGGGCAGACUAGAGUGUGGUAGGGGUGACUGGAAUUCCUGGUGUAGCGGUGGAAUGCGCAGAUAUCAGGAGGAACACCGAUGGCGAAGGCAGGUCACUGGGCCACUACUGACGCUGAGGAGCGAAAGCAUGGGGAG